rnacentral:siRNA from 1 species
UUAGGACUAUGACUAUUUUAUCUU